GACGAACGCUGGCGGCGUGCUUAACACAUGCAAGUCGAACGAUGAUGCCAGCUUGCUGGUGGAUUAGUGGCGAACGGGUGAGUAACACGUGAGCAACCUGCCCCUGACUUCGGGAUAACCGCGGGAAACCGUGGCUAAUACCGGAUAUGACGCGCUAUCGCAUGGUGGUGUGUGGAAAGAUUUAUCGGUUGGGGAUGGGCUCGCGGCCUAUCAGCUUGUUGGUGGGGUGAUGGCCUACCAAGGCGACGACGGGUAGCCGGCCUGAGAGGGUGACCGGCCAAACUGGGAAGGAGAAACGGACCAGACUCCUACGGGAGGCAGCAGUGGGGAAUAUUGAACAAUGGGCGAAAGCAUGAUGCAGCGACGCCGCGUGAGGGAUGACGGCCUUCGGGUUGUAAACCUAUUUCAGUAGGGAAGAAGGACUUCGGGUUGACGGUACCUGCAGAAGAAGCGCCGGCUAACUACGUG
rnacentral:rRNA from 1 species